AGGGCGAACGCUGGCGGCAGGCCUAACACAUGCAAGUCGAGCGGCCGUAGCAAUACGGCAGCGGCAGACGGGAGAGUAACACGUGGGAACGCGCCCUUCGGUUCGGAAUAACUCAGGGAAACUUGGGCUAAUACCGGAUACGCCCUUACGGGGAAAGAUUUAUUGCCGAAGGAACGGCCCGCGUCCGAUUAGCUUGUUGGUGAGGUAACGGCUCACCAAGGCGACGAUCGGUAGCUGGUCUGAGAGGAUGACCAGCCUCACUGGGACUGAGACACGGCCCAGACUCCUACGGGAGGCAGCAGUGGGGAAUAUUGGACAAUGGGCGCAAGCCUGAUCCAGCCAUGCCGCGUGGGUGAUGAAGGCCCUAGGGUUGUAAAGCCCUUUCGGCGGGGAAGAUAAUGACGGUACCGCAGAAGAAGCCCGGCUAACUUCGUGCCAGCAGCCGC
rnacentral:rRNA from 1 species